UCUGUCGCUUUUGCUUCUGUCGCUUUGCUUCUGUCGCUUUGCUUCUGUCGCCGUCGUUGUUGUCGUUGUUGUUGUUGUUGAUGGCGGCUCGCGGGCCAAGCUCUCUCAUCGGAAACGGGGGGAGGGGGCGGAAGCUGAGAGACUCCAUGGGGGCGCUAUCGGAGGGCGUCUGGAAUGUAAACCACGAGCCGAUCACUCGGCGUGAUCUCGCCGCCCUCACUCGACCACGCCGCUGGCUGGCGGCGCAGCCGAGGAUGGCGAUGGAAACCCCACAGGAGAUCUUCCACGUGGCCGCACGACGGAGAGAGAUGUCGGCGAGCAGCGACGCAGCCAGGACCCAAGGAUCCACACACGCUGAAGGAGCCGGGCAAUGUGUGAGACAUGAAGUGUUCAAGAGAAGGAUGAGCAAAAGAAAUCGACGCCGAUUGUGAACAACACCGUGGCUCUGAAGAGGGUGACAGAUACAGGCGAUGGUCAAGAUGUCUUGUGAGCCCCAAUUAAUGUACCCUUAAUUUAACAUUUUUUACAUUUUUCAUUUGCAUAUUCAUUUCUGUUUUAAAUAAAUCUUCAUUUUUUAAAAUAUAUAUACAGUUUUAGAGAAUUAAAUGCGGGUCACACGACAUAAUGGACCACCCUGUAUAAUAAAGCGACGUUUUUCGGGGAAAUGGCCCUUCUUGCAGAGCAGAGAUAUUGUUGUGAAGAUGAAAAAUAAACAGUCCUUGACUAUAUUUUUUUCAAACUUGAUUUGAAGCUUUCGUGACUGCAGGAAUUACUCUUUGGUUCUUUCGGUAAAGUCACGUAGAAAGAAUA